GUUCUUAUAGUUGAAUAACAACGGGGUUUUU
rnacentral:tRNA from 1 species